rnacentral:rRNA from 1 species
CCUACGGGAGGCAGCAGGGAGGAAUAUUGGGCAAUGGACGAGAGUCUGAACCAGACAAGUAGCGUGAAGGAUGACUGCCAUAUGGGUUGUAAACUUCUUUUAUAUGGGAAUAAAAUGUUACCCGUGUGGGAUUUUGUAUGUACCAUAUGAAUAAGGAUCGGCUAACUCCGUGCCAGCAGACGCGGUAAUACGGAGGAUCCGAGCGUUAUCCGGAUUUAUUGGGUUUAAAGGGAGCGUAGGUGGAUUGUUAAGUCGGUUGUGAAAGUUUGCGGCUCAACCGUAAAAUUGCAGUUGAAACUGGCAGUCUUGAGUACAGUAGAGGUGGGCGGAAUUCGUGGUGUAGCGGUGAAAUGCUUAGAUAUCACGAAGAACUCCGAUUGCGAAGGCAGUUCACUGGACUGCAACUGACACUGAGGCUCGAAAGUGUGGGUAUCAAACAGGAUUAGAUACCCUAGUAGUC